GAUGAACGCUAGCGGCAGGCCUAACACAUGCAAGUCGAGGGGUAACUAGAGUGAUAGCAAUAUUACUUUGGCUAGACCGGCGCACGGGUGCGUAGCACGUAUGCAACCUACCUUAUACUGGGGAAUAACUUCGAGAAAUCGGCGCUAAUACCCCAUAACACUGCGGAGAGGCAUCUCUUUGCAGGUAAAGCUCCGGCGGUAUAAGAUGGGCAUGCGUCCAAUUAGCUAGUUGGUGAGGUAACGGCUCACCAAGGCUACGAUUGGUAGGGGUUCUGAGAGGAUGAUCCCCCACACUGGUACUGAGACACGGACCAGACUCCUACGGGAGGCAGCAGUGAGGAAUAUUGCGCAAUGGACGAAAGUCUGACGCAGCCAUGCCGCGUGCAGGAUGACGGCCCUAUGGGUUGUAAACUGCUUUUGUACGGGAAUAAACCCUUCUACGUGUAGGAGGCUGAAGGUACCGUAAGAAUAAGCACCGGCUAACUCCGUGCCAGCAGCCGCGGUAA
rnacentral:rRNA from 1 species